AGAGUUUGAUCCUGGCUCAGGAUGAACGCUAGCGAUAGGCUUAACACAUGCAAGUCGAGGGGUAACAUGGAGAGAAGCUUGCUUCACUCUGAUGACGACCGGCGGAUGGGUGAGUAACGCGUAUGCAACUUGCCUCUUAGUGGGGGAUAACCCGGAGAAAUCCGGACUAAUACCGCAUAUUCUUAAUUUCUCGCAUGAGUUAUUAAGGAAAGAUUUAUUGCUAAGAGAUAGGCAUGCGUUCCAUUAGUUAGUUGGUGAGGUAACGGCUCACCAAGGCAUCGAUGGAUAGGGGAGCUGAGAGGCUGAUCCCCCACAUUGGGACUGAGACACGGCCCAAACUCCUACGGGAGGCAGCAGUGAGGAAUAUUGGUCAAUGGAGGAAACUCUGAACCAGCCAAGUCGCAGGUGGCUGAUUAAGUCAGUGGUGAAAAGCUAUGGCUCAACCAUAGUCUUGCCGUUGAUACUGGUUAGCUUGAGUGUAGAUGAUGUAGGCGGAAUGCGUAGUGUAGCGGUGAAAUGCAUAGAUAUUACGCAGAACUCCGAUUGCGAAGGCAGCUUACAAAACUACUACUGACACUGAGGCACGAAAGCGUGGGUAUCAAACAGGAUUAGAUACCCUGGUAGUCCACGCCGUAAACUAUGAUUACUCAGAGUAUGCGAUAUACAGUAUGCUCUCAAGCGAAAGCAUUAAGUAAUCCACCUGGGGAGUACGUCGGCAACGAUGAAACUCAAAGGAAUUGACGGGGGCCCGCACAAGCGGAGGAACAUGUGGUUUAAUUCGAUGAUACGCGAGGAUUAAUUCGAUGAUACGCGAGGAACCUUACCUGGGAUUGAAAUGUAUAGGCUGGCAACUGGAAACAGAUGCUGUUCACUUCGGUGACUUAUAUGUAGGUGCUGCAUGGUUGUCGUCAGCUCGUGCCGUGAGGUGUCGGCUUAAGUGCCAUAACGAGCGCAACCCUUAUCGUUAGUUGCUAACAGGUUAAGCUGAGGACUCUGGCGAGACUGCCGUCGUAAGGCGAGAGGAAGGUGGGGAUGACGUCAAAUCAGCACGGCCCUUAUAUCCAGGGCGACACACGUGUUACAAUGGUGAGGACAAAGGGUAGCUACCUGGUGACAGGAUGCCAAUCUCCAAACCUCAUCUCAGUUCGGAUCGAAGUCUGCAACUCGACUUCGUGAAGCUGGAUUCGCUAGUAAUCGCGCAUCAGCCAUGGCGCGGUGAAUACGUUCCCGGGCCUUGUACACACCGCCCGUCAAGCCAUGGAAGCUGGGGGUACCUGAAGUGCGUGACCGCGAGGAGCGUCCGAGGGUAAGACCGGUGACUGGGGCUAAGUCGUAACAAGGUAGCCGUACCGGAAGGUGCGGCUG
rnacentral:rRNA from 1 species